rnacentral:misc_RNA from 1 species
GAAAUGCGAUAAGUAAUGUGAAUUGCAGAAUUCAGUGAAUCAUCGAAUCUUUGAACGCACCUUGCGCUCCUUGGUAUUCCUUGGAGCAUGCCUGUUUGAGUAUCAUGAAAUCUUCAAAGUAAAUCUUUUGUUAACUCAAUUGGUUUCUACUUUGGUAUUGGAGGUCUUUGCAGCUUCACACCUGCUCCUCUUUGUUCAUUAGCUGGAUCUCAGUGUUAUGCUUGGUUCCACUCGGCGUGAUAAGUUAUCUAUCGCUGAGGACACUGUAAAAGUUGGCCAAGGUAAAUGCAGAUGAACCGCUUCUAAUAGUCCAUUGACUUGGACAAUACUUUUAUGAUCUGAUCUCAAAUCAGGUAGGACUACCCGCUGAACUUAAGC